UUGGGGUUGCGGACAUAUCAUAACGAAGAGGUAUCGUAAUUGAAGAGGUUUGGAAAGACCCACCACAGCAGGUAAUAGUCCUGUAUGUUAAACGAGAAGACUUUAGAUAUGAUCCAGAGUACCACGGGACACGUGAAACCCUGUGGGAAGCAGGAGGGACCACCCUCCAAGGCUAAAUACUACCUAGUGACCGAUAGCGUAUAGUACCGUGAGGGAAAGGUGAAAAGAACCCCGGGAGGGGAGUGAAAUAGAACCUGAAACCCUGCACUUACAAGCUGUGGAAGCACAUUUCUUGUGUGACCGCGUACUUUUUGUAGAACGGGCCAACGAGUUACGUUAAGUAGCAAG
rnacentral:rRNA from 1 species